rnacentral:rRNA from 1 species
GAUGAACGCUAGCUACAGGCUUAACACAUGCAAGUCGAGGGGCAGCAUGGUCGUUGCUUGCAAUGACCGAUGGCGACCGGCGCACGGGUGAGUAACGCGUAUCCAACCUUCCCCCUACCCGGGUAUAGCCCGCCGAAAGGCGGAUUAAUCCCCGAUACGUCCUCCGACGGCAUCAGAUGAGGACGAAAGGUUUUCCGGUAAGGGAUGGGGAUGCGUCCGAUUAGCUUGUUGGCGGGGUAACGGCCCACCAAGGCGACGAUCGGUAGGGGUUCUGAGAGGAAGGUCCCCCACAUUGGAACUGAGACACGGUCCAAACUCCUACGGGAGGCAGCAGUGAGGAAUAUUGGUCAAUGGGCGGAAGUCUGAACCAGCCAAGUAGCGUGCAGGAUGACGGCCCUAUGGGUUGUAAACUGCUUUUAUGUGGGAAUAAAGUGAGGGACGUGUCCCUUUUUGUAGGUACCACAUGAAUAAGGACCGGCUAAUUCCGUGCCAGCAGCCGCGGUAAUACGGAAGGUCCGGGCGUUAUCCGGAUUUAUUGGGUUUAAAGGGAGCGUAGGCCGUUUUUUAAGCGUGUUGUGAAAUACUGUCGCUCAACGACAGAGGUGCAGCGCGAACUGGGAGACUUGAGUGCGCGGAAUGCAGGCGGAAUUCGUCGUGUAGCGGUGAAAUGCUUAGAUAUGACGAAGAACUCCGAUUGCGAAGGCAGCUUGCAGUAGCGUAACUGACGCUGAAGCUCGAAAGUGCGGGUAUCGAACAGG